GAAAGUCUGAGUUAUUUUUACUGGCUGCAAUGCAUUUCAUUAUGUGCAUUAUACGGUCGCACGUGCAUUGCGAGGGUAGUGAUCUCCAGCCAAUGGGAGAUGGCUGCACUGCAGUGAGAGACAAAUAAAAGCGGUUAGCGUAUGAGUAAAUGUUAGGUUAAUUGGGGCUGGGAGUGGUCGUAAUUUACUGUAGUUG